AGUCGAGCGAAUGGAUUAAGAGCUUGCUCUUAUGAAGUUAGCGGCGGACGGGUGAGUAACACGUGGGUAACCUGCCCAUAAGACUGGGAUAACUCCGGGAAACCGGGGCUAAUACCGGAUAACAUUGAACCGCAUGGUUCGAAAUUGAAAGGCGGCUUCGGCUGUCACUUAUGGAUGGACCCGCGUCGCAUUAGCUAGUUGGUGAGGUAACGGCUCACCAAGGCAACGAUGCGUAGCCGACCUGAGAGGGGUCGGCCACACUGGGACUGAGACACGGCCCAGACUCCUACGGGAGGCAGCAGUAGGGAAUCUUCCGCAAUGGACGAAAGUCUGACGGAGCAACGCCGCGUGAGUGAUGAAGGCUUUCGGGUCGUAAACCUGUUGUUAGGGAAGAACAAGUGCUAGUUGAAUAAGCUGGCACCUUGACGGUACCUAACCAGAAAGCCACGGCUAACUACGUGCCAGCAGCCGCGGUAAUACGUAGGUGGCAAGCGUUAUCCGGAUUUUGGGCGUAAAGCGCGCGCAGGUGGUUUCUUAAGUCUGAUGUGAAAGCCCACGGCUCAACCGUGGAGGGUCAUUGGAAACUGGGAGACUUGAGUGCAGAAGAGGAAAGUGGAAUUCCAUGUGUGCGGGAAAUGCGUAGAGAUAUGGAGGAACACCAGUGGCGAAGGCGACUUUCUGGUCUGUAACUGACACUGAGGCGCGAAAGCGUGGGGAGCAAACAGGAUUAGAUACCCUGGUAGUCCACGCCGUAACGAUAGUGCUAAGUGUUAGAGGGUUUCCGCCCUUUAGUGCUGAAGUUAACGCAUUAAGCACUCCGCCUGGGGAGUACGGCCGCAAGGGUGAAACUUAAAGGAAUUGACGGGGGCCCGCACCAGCGUGGAGCUGUGGUUUAAUUUGAAGCAACGGGAAGAACCUUACCAGGUUUUGACAUCCUUUGACAACCCUAGAGAUAGGGGUUUUCCUUUGGGAGCAGAGUGACAGGUGGUGCAUGGUUGUUGUCAGCCGUGUUGGAGAUGUUGGGUUAAGUCCCGCAACGAGCGCAACCCUUGAUUUUAGUUGCCAUCAUUAAGUUGGGCACUUUAAGGUGACUGCCGGUGACAAACCGGAGGAAGGUGGGGAAGACGUCAAACAUCAUGCCCUUAUGACCUGGGCUACCCACGUGGUACAAUGGACGGUACAAAGAGGUGCAAGACCCCGAGGGGGAGCUAAUUUCAUAAAACCGUUUUCAGUUUGGAUUGUAGGGUGCAACUUGCCUCAUGAAGCCGAAUCGCUAGUAAUCGCGGAUCAGCCUGCCGCGGGGAAUACGUUCCCGGGCCUUGUACACCCCCCCCGUCACCCCCCGAGAGUUUGUAACACCCGAAGUCGGUGGGGUAACCUUUUUGAGCCAGCCGC
rnacentral:rRNA from 1 species